GCAAACUUGGUCAUUUAGAGGAAGUAAAAGUCGUAACAAGGUUUCCGUAGGUGAACCUGCGGAAGGAUCAUUACAAAUCAUGGCGAACCACGCGUUUCGCGAGGUUUUGCCGUUCGUAUUUAAAACAUCCCACUCUUUAAAAAAAAUUAUCUAAUGAUAAAAUAAAAAAAAGAUCACUUUCAACAACGGAUCUCUUGGCUCUCUCAGAUGUGUAUAAGAGACAGGCAAACUUGGUCAUUUAGAGGAAGUAAAAGUCGUAACAAGGUUUCCGUAGGUGAACCUGCGGAAGGAUCAUUACAAAUCAUGGCGAACCACGCGUUUCGCGAGGUUUUGCCGUUCGUAUUUAAAACAUCCCACUCUUUAAAAAAAAUUAUCUAAUGAUAAAAUAAAAAAAAGAUCACUUUCAACAACGGAUCUCUUGGCUCUCGCAUCGAUGAAGAACGCAGC
rnacentral:misc_RNA from 1 species